AUUGAUCGCUUUCUUUUACACUAUUAAUGCUAAUUGUUUUUCAUGGUGCAUGCCUUUGGGAUUCAUCAAAAUGAAUUCUUAACGAAUUUCCAAACACAAAAAUUAUAGCAGAAUAACGGAUAGAAGUAAAUCAUCCUACCAUUUCUCAAAGGCCUUCUGUUCUGAAGGGCCCGGGCAGUAUGAGGUGGAAUCACGAGUGUCUGUAAGGUUUGAGAUAUCGAUGUGAACAGCCAUAGGUGAGUGUGUGGACAUUACAACUGGCUACAGUGUUUGAGCACCUACUGUGUGCCAGGUCCUGGGCUAAGACAUUUACAAACGUUGUUUCAUUGAAUCCUCACAACAGUGCCAAGGUCAGUUUUAUUAUUCCCACUUUAUUUACUAAGAAACUGAGACCCAAAGAGGUUUCUACAUCUAUCGAGUGGAAGAGCCCAAGUACGAGUCCAGUUCUAUUUGUCUCUGAAGUGCAUGUACUUUCCGCUUGGCCACUCUCCAUGCUGAGCUGCUAUCAACAUUGCUGCAAUCAGUUCAUUCCAGGGAACUUUAUCACUAUUUCUGCCUGUCUGUCUGACUCAGCAUUAACCUUGAGCCUUCCUGCCAAAGGAGCUCCAGUCACAGCACACACCUCACGCCUUGGUCAGUCCCCUCUAGGCCAUCAGAUCAGUCAAAAGUCAUCGCUGUGCCCUCUUGUCUCUCUUGGCAAGACUACUGCUUGUCUCCCCUUAUUCCUCAGUAAUAACAUUUUAGCUUGACACGUGGCUCUAGCUAAAGACUACAUUUCCCAGAAUUCCUUGCAGCUAGGCACAGACUUAUGACUAAUAGGAAGUGAACAGACUUGAUGUGUGCCAAAUGUGGGUUCUGCCUUUAAAGAAAGAAAAAGUGCUUCUUCCCAUCUUCUUUCCAUCUUCCUGCUGUCUGGGAUUCAGGUAUGAUGGUGGGAGUUGAAGCAGCCAUCUCUAACCAUGAGACAGAAACUGCGUGGUGAGGAUAACAAAGCAAUAAGCUAGAAGGAGCCUGGGUCCCUAAUGCUAGGAGGUGCCAUCCCAGCCCUGAACUGCAUGCCUGGACUUGUCUGUGAGAGAAAAUUAAAUACCUUUCUUGUGUUUAAGAAACUAUUAUUUCCAUCCUCUGUUAUAGUAGCCAACUUUAUCCCAACUAAUGUAGCUGCCCAAGACAGUGCUGAUGGAUGUGGCAGGCUGAAUAAUGAACCACCAACGAUGUCCAUGUCCUAAUCUCCAGCACCUGUGAAUAUGUUACUUUACGUGGUAAAAGGGAUGUUGUAGACGUGAUUAAUUUAAGCAUCUUGAGAUGGCAAGUUUAUCUCGGGUUAUCCCAGUGGACUUAAUGUUUGUUUGUUUGUUUGUUUGUUUGAGGAAGAUUAGCCCUGAGCUAACAUCUGCCAAUCCUCCUCUUUUUGCUGAGGAAGGCUGGCCCUGAGCUAACAUCCGUGCCCAUCUUCCUCUACUUUAUAUGUGGGACGCCUGCCACAGCAUGGCUUGCCAAGCGGUGCCAUGUCCACACCCGAGAUCCGAACCAGCGAACCCCGGGCCACCAAAGCGGAACGUGCGCACUUAACCACUGCGCCACCGGACUGGCCCCCACUGGACUCAAUGUAAUCACAAGAGUCCUUACAACAGGGAGGCAUGGGUCAGAUAUAUAGCAAGAAAGCAGCGUGACAAGAGAAGCAGAGGGAAGCAGAGUCAGAGAGAAAAGAUGGUACGUCACCAGCUUUGAAGAUGGAGGAAGCGACCACAAGCCAAGGAAUGCAAGCAGCCUCUAGAAGCCAGAAAAGGCAAAGAAAGAGAUCCUCCAGAGAGCCUCAAGAAGGAACACAGGAUGUUUGCAUAAUCUCAAAGCAUCUCUCUACAAGAUCCUCAUUAAUUACAAAGGAGAAAGUAUUAGUUCCAUAGUUUACAGUGGAGACACCACCUUUAUCAAGUGACAUCACCAGGAAUGACACCUUGACUUCAUGCUCAUCCCAAUACCUUGCACUCAGAAGGACACCACAUCACUGCUAUAGGAUUCGUGCAAAAAUGCAUGCUCUGAAUUUGAUCAUGGGGAAACAUCCGAUAAAGCUAAAUUUGAGACAGUCCACUAAAUAACCAGCCUGUACUCUUCAAAAGUGCCACAGCCAUGAAAGACAGAGGAAGCCCAAGGACCUGUCACCGAUGAGAAGAGCCGAAAGCAGCAUCACAACUAAAGAAACUGGACCAGAUCCUGGGCCAGGAAAAGAACCCUCUCCAGGUGGUGGCAUUAGCUAUAUUUACUGGUGAGGACACUGGGGUCAAGGAGGUAACCUGUGGAGAGACCUGAGCUCAGCCAGGAUGGAGUCAACAGCCCUGCUCUGGGGCACUCUGGUUCCCUCCACCUGGCCCCCACCCAUGACUGCCCAGCGCACACAGCAUCAUCAAGGAUCAGAGAUAACCUGAGGCCCGGCCAGCCCCUGCUCUUGCCCGCGAGUCCACCCUUCCUAAGGCUGAAACAGGGCCCCUCCUCUGCCGCCUACGAAUAGUGUUGAACAGUGCAUGAGAAAAAAAACGCACUGGGGAGCGAAAAGGGAUGUCUACACCGUUCCUAGUCAGCCAGGAGUUUAAUUCACCAGGGACUUUGAAUCCAUGUGAUUCUGGUUAUAAAUGGGUUGGCUUCAGCUCCCGAUCUACGAGAGAACUGUUGAGAAACAGCACUGAACUGAGAGUGAGGACAUUUGGGUUCUGAACUGAGAUUUUCAGGGGUUUUUGGUGCUGGUUUCCAGGGCUGACUUGGUUACCUGUUUCCUGG
ensembl:lncRNA